GUAUAUUCAUUAUAACCAUGAAAGAAUUGGCUAAAUGAAAUCGCACACGUUGUCGUUUUGUUAAAUUGACACAUUGUUGCCAGGACUUUGGAGUGACAGCUUUUGCUUGUGUUAAAACUUGAAGCUUUAAACAAUACAGUACAUUAUUUAUGGUCAAUGGUCAACACUCAACAUGUUGUAGCCUGUGGUCUUUGUGCUUUUGUAAAUGGAGUUAUCUAUAUAAAUUUAAGAUGCCAGGUGUUUUUGUAGCAUCUGUAUAAAUUAUAGAAUAAUUGAUUUAAGAAGUUCCUCAGGUUGUAAAACAUUUGGUUAUAGAUUUGCUUUGUAAGUGAUUGCCACUUGACAGCAUGAUGGGCUAUUUCAUUUAAUAUCCGUACACCCCCUGUCGAGGAUACAUGUUUUUCAUGGUUAUACCCCUGAAGAAUUUCAAACUGAAAACCUUUUACCCCUGAAAAGUUCCAAAAUUCCAAGCUCAAAACCCUUUACCCCUGAAAAAUUCCAAGCUCGAAACCUUUU